rnacentral:rRNA from 1 species
UACGUAGGUGGCAAGCGUUGUCCGGAAUUAUUGGGCGUAAAGCGCGCGCAGGCGGUCCUUUAAGUCUGAUGUGAAAGCCCACGGCUCAACCGUGGAGGGUCAUUGGAAACUGGGGGACUUGAGUACAGAAGAGAAGAGUGGAAUUCCACGUGUAGCGGUGAAAUGCGUAGAGAUGUGGAGGAACACCAGUGGCGAAGGCGGCGACCUGGUCCGAUACUGACGCUGAGGCGCGAAAGCGUGGGGAGCAAACAGG